UACGUAGGGGGCAAGCGUUGUCCGGAUUUAUUGGGCGUAAAGCGCGUGUAGGCGGUCCGGUAAGUCCGCUGUGAAAGUCGGGGGCUCAACCCUCGGAUGCCGGUGGAUACUGUCGGGCUUGAGUACGGAAGAGGCGAGUGGAAUUCCCGGUGUAGCGGUGAAAUGCGCAGAUAUCGGGAAGGAACACCUAUGGCGAAGGCAGCUCGCUGGGACGUUACUGACGCUGAGACGCGAAAGCGUGGGGAGCAAACAGG
rnacentral:rRNA from 1 species